CUGAAUACUCUGACAUGUUAAUCAGAGAUGGAGAUGAAGUCAUUUUGUCUUGUGGAAUUGUGAAAGAUGAUCUGGAUAAAUGUGACAGGACUACAUGGAUCUUUUCUAGUGUUAGUUACACAUCAGCAGUAACACUGUUUGAAGGUGGGAAGAUUCACAAACACAGCAAAAACAAAUCAGACAGACUGAGUGUUACAGGAAACGGUUCUCUGGUUAUGAAGAACGUCACAGCUGAGGAUGUCGGUCGAUACACCUGCAGAAAAUUCAGCAAAUCGGGAAAAUUCAAAGGUUCUGAAUUUGUAGCUGAAGUCUGUCUGGUUAAAAUAACAGAACAUAAGGAUGGCAACAACGUGACAUUAAAGUGCUCUGAUACUCAGUGAAGUGGCUCUGUGAGGAUCAACGAGGCCUGAGGAUGUCACAGUCUGCCUGCUUGGCCACUGUGACUUUGGCAACAUCUGAUUAUAUUUAUUCAUCCAAGAAUUAUGAGCUACUCAAGUGCCAGGUGAUAAGUGGAGACAUCAUGCAGGAGUUCCCAUUCUGGAUUCAAACACUUGGUGAAAAAAGUGGCCUCUGGAGCUUCAUCAGUGUCCCUGUUUGGUCAGCAGCACUCGUAACAGUCGUUGUGGUCAUCAGCAUUUGAACGAGAGCU